CCACAGGACAGUGUACUAGUUAAUAUCAGUAUCAUAACACCCCACAGGACAGUGUACUUGUUAGUUAAUAUCAGUAUCAUAACACCCCACAGGACAGUGUACUAGUUAGUUAAUAUCAGUAUCAUAACACCCCACAGGACAGUGUACUAGUUAGUUAAUAUCAGUAUCAUAACACCCCACAGGACAGACAGUAUACUAGUUAAUAUCAGUAUCAUAACACCCCACAGGACAGUGUACUAGUUAAUAACAGUGUCAUAACACCCCCACAGGACAGUGUACUAGUUAGUUAAUAUCAGUAUCAUAACACCCCACAGGACAGUGUACUAGUUAAUAACAGUGUCAUAACACCCCACAGGACAGUGUACUAGUUAAUAACAGUGUCAUAACACCUGGAGGGUGUGUGUGUCCUCACCUUACACCAGCGUACUAACACACUGCCAGGUCUCUCCUGGAGUUCCUCUAUCUGGACUGGAGGGUGUGAAGAGACUGAUCCGUGUCGUGACACUCUGUCUCUCAGCGCGUACAGCAGAGAGUCAUCCAGCUGGGCAGACACACACGGCACGUCUACUAACACUGCUGGAUCUGAAGGGCCUUCUUGGUGAAACUCCCCAGCUUGUCCUCCUUCUCCCCCAGACCACAGCGGAUAGCUACCUCACCUGAAGAGAGGACAAGGGGAGAGAGAAAGAGAGAUUCAAACCUUUAAUCAGUGUUUAAUUACAGGAGAUGAAUCAUGAAAUAGGAGACCACUGAGGAAGAGGAGGAGGAGGAGGAGGACAGGAGAAACAUGAUUCUGAUGGUACUGAGGAGGAGGAGGAGGAGAGGAGAAACAUGAUUCUGAUGGUACUGAGGAAGAGGAGGACAGGAGAAACAUGAUUCUGAUGGUACUGAGGAGGAGGAGGAGGAGGAGGACAGGAGAAACAUGAUUCUGAUGGUACUGAGGAGGAGGAGGAGGAGGACAGGAGAAACAUGAUUCUGAUGGUACUGAGGAAGAGGAGGACAGGAGAAACAUGAUUCUGAUGGUACUGAGGAGGAGGAGGAGGAGGACAGGAGAAACAUGAUUCUGAUGGUACUGAGGAGGAGGAGGAGGAGAGGAGAAACAUGAUUCUGAUGGUACUGAGGAGGAGGAGGAGGAGGAGAGGAGAAACAUUAUUCUGACGGUGUGUAAUAGAAAGUCAUAAUAAUU
rnacentral:lncRNA from 1 species